AGACACUCCUCCAUAUACCAUUAAAUCAUCAUCAUUCGCAUUACGAAGCUGUUGACGUAUUUAGGUUUCAGGCCUCAUUAGCGCCGACAACAGCAUCACCAGCAGCAGGAGGAGCAACAGCAGGUGUCAAUAUUAAUUUACUACCUACUCAAGGAUAUUCUGCUUCUGGCUUCUAAAGUCUGGUAACCACAUACAUUUGUGUGGGCCGUGGGACGAGGGCCGUGGACUUGAGGCAGAGCUGCUUCAUAUUUUAUGGAAUUUGUGGUCUCUGCGAUAAGAGCAUGUCCAACGAGAGUGAAUAGAAAGAUAAGUAGUAUCUGAGAUCAGACAAGGGUACUCCAUGGGCAGAGGAAUGGAAGAUAUAAAGGCAUGGACAAAGAUGUGAGAGGCGGACCUAGCUAGACUUAAAGAUAUAGAAAGAUCCACUUGGCAACCGAAUGUGGUCGCUGCCUAUUAAUAUGCAGAGGAGCAUGGGCUUCGUCUUGAAGGCUGCCUAGUUGAUCGGCCCAUUAAAGUGGCUAAUGAAGCAGCUGAAUUAUGCGUGCAGUCAAACGCUGCGCAUUUUUAAGCAAGGCCAAAACAAAUGGAGGAAAAAGAAUAAAUAAAAAGGCAAAAAUAUUUCAAUGAAACUUAAACUUUUAUUUUAUGUCGUAAACAAAAUCACAAGCAGUUGGCUGAGGAGAGGGGCGGCGGCGGCGGCAUAGGGGCGUGCCACAUAAGGAGCAGCAAAAGGAGCGCUGUAGGCCAGAGGAGCAGCAG